rnacentral:rRNA from 1 species
GACGAACGCUGGCGGCGUGCCUAAUACAUGCAAGUCGAACGCAUUUUCUUUCACCGUAGCUUGCUACACCGAAAGAAAGUGAGUGGCGAACGGGUGAGUAACACGUGGGUAACCUGCCCAUCAGCGGGGGAUAACACUUGGAAACAGGUGCUAAUACCGCAUAAUUCCAUUUACCGCAUGGUAGUUGGUUAAAGGGGCCUUUACGAUCCUGCUAGGGCGACCAUCCGUUGCUUUGCUUAGUGGGUGGGGUACCGGCCUACCAAGGCUGCGAAGCAUAGCAGACCAGAGAGGGUAAUCGGCCACACUGGGACGGGGACACGGCCCAGACUCCUACGGGAGACAGCAGUAGGGGAUCUUCAGCGAUGGACGCAAGUCUGACCGAGCAACGCCGCGUGAGUGAAGGAGGUUGUCGGAUUGUAAAACUCUGUUAUUAGAGAAGGUCAAAAAUGUGUGUUAAAAGUGCAUCCCUUGACGGUAUCUAACCAGAAAGCCACGGCUAACUACGUG